AGAGUGAGGCGGAAGGCUUCCGGGUUUUGCGGGGCCUUUGUCUCUGAAGCCGGAGCUCCAGGUUUUGUCUUCACUGCUGUGUGUCCUCUGCUCCUAGAGGCCCAGCCUCUGUGACCCUGUGUCCUGCAGGUAUUGGGAGAUCCACAGCUAAGACGCCCGGGAGCCCCUGGAAGCCUAGAAAUGGGACCAUUGCAAUUUAGAGACGUGGCCAUAGAAUUCUCUCUGGAGGAGUGGCAUUGCCUGGACACUGCACAGCGGAAUUUAUAUAGGAAUGUGAUGUUAGAGAACUACAGAAACCUGGUCUUCCUUGGUAUUGUUGUCUCUAAGCCAGACCUCAUCACCUGUCUGGAGCAAGGAAAAAAACCUUUGACCAUGAAGAAACAUGAGAUGGUAGCCAACCCCUCAGUUACGUGUUCUCAUUUUGCCCGAGAUCUUUGGCCAGAGCAGAGCAUAAAAGAUUCUUUCCAAAAAGUGACACUGAGAAGAUAUGAAAACUAUGGACAUGACAAUUUACAGUUUAAAAAGGGCUGUGAAAGUGUAGAUGAGUGUAAGGUGCACAAAAGAGGUUAUAAUGGACUUAACCAAUAUUUGACAACUACUCAAAGCAAAAUAUUUCAGUGUGAUAAAUAUGUGAAAGUCAUUCAUAAAUUUUCAAAUUCAAACAGACAUAAGAUAAGACAUACUGGAAAAAACCCUUUCAAAUGUAUAGAAUGUGGCAAAGCUUUUAACCAGUCUUCAACCCUUACUACACAUAAGAAAAUUCAUACUGGGGAGAAACCCUUCAAAUGUGAAGAAUGUGGCAAAGCCUUCAACUGGUCCUCACACCUUACUACACAUAAGAUAAUUCAUACUGGAGAGAAACGGUACAAAUGUGAAGACUGUGGCAAAGCCUUUAGCCGGUUUUCAUACCUUACUGCACAUAAGAUAAUUCAUAGUGGAGAGAAACCCUACAAAUGUGAAGAAUGUGGCAAGGCCUUUAAGCGCUCCUCUAACCUUACUACACAUAAGAUAAUUCAUACUGGAGAGAAACCCUACAAAUGUGAAGAAUGUGGCAAGGCCUUUAAGCGCUCCUCUAUCCUUACUGCGCAUAAGAUAAUUCAUAGCGGAGAGAAACCCUACAAAUGUGAAGAAUGUGGCAAAGCCUUUAAGCACCCCUCUGUCCUUACUACACAUAAAAGAAUUCAUACUGGAGAGAAACCCUACAAAUGUGAAGAAUGUGGCAGAGCCUUUAAGUACUUCUCAUCCCUUACUACACAUAAGAUAAUUCAUAGUGGAGAGAAACCCUACAAAUGUGAAGAAUGUGGCAAAGCCUUCAACUGGUCCUCACACCUUACUACACAUAAGAGAAUUCAUACUGGAGAGAAACCCUACAAAUGUGAAGAAUGUGGCGAAGCCUUUAAGUACUCCUCUUCCCUUACUACACAUAAGAUAAUCCAUACUGGACAGCAACCCUUCAAGUGUGAAGAAUGUGGUAAGGCCUUUAAGUGCUUCUCUAUCCUUACUACACAUAAGAGAAUUCAUACUGGAGAGAAACCCUACAAAUGUGAAGAAUGUGGCAAAGCCUUCAACUCGUCCUCACACCUUACUGCACAUAAGAGAAUUCAUACUGGAGAGAAACCCUACAAAUGUGAACGAUGUGGCAAGGCUUUUAAGCGCUCCUUUAUCCUUACUAGACAUAAGAGAAUUCAUACUGGAGAGAAACCCUACAAAUGUGAAGAAUGUGGCAAAGGCUUUAAGUGCCCCUCUACCCUUACUACACAUAAGAAAGCAGUUUUGCCACGAGUACACUGAACAGAGGAGACAGAGUCAUUUAUAACUUGACGUGUCCACCCUACUGCUGUGUCCGGUUUUCAUUGGCUGGAAUGGGACCUCACAUUCUGUAUUUGUCCCAAUUGUUUAGCAACUUAGAACUUUUUAAAAGAGACAAAGGCAGAGGAGAACAAAGGAAGGAGGAAGUAACUUGUGGAUGCUGAGAAAGUUUUUUGCUUAUUGCAGAGAAGUGGCUGUCCUACCAGAAAACUGCUACUCUCAUCUGUAUCCACACUGAAUAAUAGUGAAUGGAAGUGAAGCGGAUAAAAGGUAAAUGUGUCUUCUCUGUAUCUUUUUUCAUCCAUUGGCUGAAGAACAGGAAAAUGUGGAAAAUAAAAGAAAAUAUAACCCCUGAGAAAUCAUGAAGAAGCUCUCUUAACCGGACAAAAAACCUUAUAGGGGAUUUUUUGUUUGUUUUAUUAUUGUACCGUCUGCUUCUAUGAGUUUAAUUUUUUUUUUUUUUACACUUUACAUAGAAAUAGGAUUAUGUGGGCUGGGCACAGGGGCUGAUGCCUGUAAUCCCAACACUUGGAGGGGCUGAGGUGGGUGGAUCAAUUGAGGUCAGGAGUUUGAGACUAGCCUGGCCAACAUGGGGGAAAUCCUAUCUCUACCAAAAAUAUAAAAAUUUGCUGGGUGUGGUGGCACAUGCCUGUAAUCCCAGGUCCUGAGGAGGCUGAGGCAGGAGGAUCUCUUGAACCUGGGAGCUGGAGGUUGCAGUGAGUGGAGAUGGUGCCACUGCACUCCAGCUUGGGUGACAAAAGCAAAACUCCAUCUCAAAAAAAAAAACCAGGAUUUUGUUUUUUUUCUGUGCUGACUUAUUUUACUUAAUAUAAUAUCUUUCAGGUUCAUGAAUGUUGUUGCAAAUAACAAGACUUUCUUAUUUUUAAGGGCUGAAUAGCAUUUCAUUGUGUAUAUAUACCAUAUUUUCUUUCUCCAUUCACCUAUUGGUGAACACUUAGGUUGAUUUCAUACCUUAGCUAUUGUGAGUAAUCAACUUCCUUCCUUCUCUUUUAUUUUGUUGUUGUUUUGUUUUGUUUGAGAUGGAGUCUCAUUCUGUCACCCAAGCUGCUGGAGUGCAGUGGUGCAAUCUCAGCUCACUGUAAACUCUGCCUACCAGGUUCAAGUGAUUCUCAUGCCUAAGCCUCCUGAGUAGCUGAGAUUACAAGUGUGUGCCACCACACCAGGCUAAUUUUUGUAUUUUUAGUAGAGGCAGGCUUUCACCAUGUUGACCAGGCUGCUUUUCAUUUGUUUGUAUAUUUCUUUCUUCCUUUCCUUCUUUAUUUCUAGAAGUAUUUUAAUUUUAAUAUAUAAAUUAUGACUGGUAAAAACCUUCAUUUCUCUGUCUUUGCUUACUGUUAUGGCUGAUUAAAAAAUAAGUUUUCAAAAUUUCCUGGAUAAAGGUUAUUACUUUAUUGUUAACAUAACUUGAGACAAUAUAGAAAUGAAAAUAAACAUUUAUUAGU